GUGCUUGCCUCUGCAGCACAUAUACAAAAAUUGGAAGGACUCAGAGAUUAGUGUGGCCCCUGCUCAAGGAUGACAGGCAAAUUGGUGAAACCUUCCAUAAAAAG
ensembl:snRNA U6 U6 spliceosomal RNA